GGGCCCGCACAAGCGGUGGAGCAUGUGGUUUAAUUCGAUGCAACGCGAAGAACCUUACCUGGUCUUGACAUACACAGAAUCUUGUAGAGAUACGAGAGUGCCUUCGGGAAUUGUGAUACAGGUGCUGCAUGGCUGUCGUCAGCUCGUGUCGUGAGAUGUUGGGUUAAGUCCCGCAACGAGCGCAACCCUUGUCCUUAGUUACCAGCGGGUUAAGCCGGGAACUCUAAGGAUACUGCCAGUGACAAACUGGAGGAAGGCGGGGACGACGUCAAGUCAUCAUGGCCCUUACGACCAGGGCUACACACGUGCUACAAUGGCAGUGACAAUGGGUUAAUCCCAAAAAACUGUCUCAGUUCGGAUUGGGGUCUGCAACUCGACCCCAUGAAGUCGGAAUCGCUAGUAAUCG
rnacentral:rRNA from 1 species